GAGGCGGGCCGGCCCGCGGGCGCUGCUGCUGCCGCUGGCGCUGGCCGUGGCGUGCGCGGCGCGCAGCGCCGACGGGCCCAGCAACAUGUCCUACGUGAAGGAGACUGUGGACAGGCUGCUCCAAGGCUACGACAUCCGCCUCCGCCCUGACUUCGGAGGUCCGCCCGUGGAUGUGGGCAUGCGGAUAGAGAUCGCCAGCAUCGACGUGGUCUCGGAAGUCAACAUGGACUACACCUUGACCAUGUACUUUCAGCAGUCCUGGAGGGAUAAAAGGCUCUCUUAUUCUGGAAUACCUUUGAACUUAACUCUGGACAACAGAGUGGCUGACCAGCUCUGGGUGCCGGACACGUAUUUCCAAAAUGACAAGAAAUCAUUUGUCCAUGGGGUGACGGUGAAAAACCGAAUGAUUCGACUCCAUCCAGAUGGGACAGUCCUUUAUGGCCUACGGAUCACAACAACAGCAGCUUGCAUGAUGGAUCUACGCAGAUAUCCUCUGGACGAACAAAACUGCACACUAGAAAUUGAAAGUUAUGGAUACACUACUGAUGAUAUUGAAUUUUACUGGAAUGGAGGAGAGUCAGCAGUAACAGGAGUGAGUAACAUCGAGCUCCCACAAUUUUCUAUUGUGGAUUACAAGAUGGUAUCAAAGAGAGUGGAAUUUACAACAGGGGCAUAUCCUCGACUAUCACUUAGCUUCCGGCUUAAAAGAAAUAUUGGAUACUUCAUAUUGCAAACCUAUAUGCCUUCCACGCUGAUCACAAUUCUGUCAUGGGUGUCUUUUUGGAUCAAUUACGAUGCCUCUGCAGCCAGAGUUGCUCUAGGAAUCACAACAGUGCUGACCAUGACCACCAUCAGCACCCACCUCAGGGAGACCUUGCCAAAGAUUCCCUAUGUCAAGGCAAUAGAUAUUUACCUGAUGGGAUGCUUUGUGUUUGUGUUCCUGGCCUUGCUGGAAUAUGCCUUUGUAAACUACAUAUUCUUUGGGAAAGGACCUCAACGUCAAAAAAAGACAGCAGGCAGAGCAGGACAUGUUAGAGGAGAGAAAAGCAGACUGGAAACAAACAGAGUCCAGAAACUUCACCAAAAAUAAAAAGCAUAGACAAGCUCUGUUGCUUCAGUGAGCCCUGAAUGAAGCCUGUAGCACUGACCUUCGAGGGACACAAGGAUGCUGCUGCUAGGUUAUAACAGCUUUCAUAGAUGUCAGGAUUUUUUCCUCAGCUAAAUUCAGGCACACACCACUAUCCCCUCUUUCAAAAACAAGCAGAAAACUUUCAGGAAGUAAUACUGUGGACAUAUUUUUAAUGAGGAUGAGUUUAAUUUUGCAAUACAUCACUGAGCACUUGCAAACAUGUAUAAACCUAUUGCACUUUUUCUCAGUUUUUCAGAAACAAAUCCUUUGAAGCCUCAGGUGUAUUUGGCCCAGUCUGACUCAGAGGAAAAUAUAUAUCCUAACAAGCCAAAAAUUUUCUUCCUUCCUGUGCUUUACUUAUAAUAUAUUACAUCCAAGUAUUAAUGAGAUCUUGCCCAGGCUGUCCUAUAAACUUCUUUACUGUUGUGGCCUGAGGUGACAACAUUUGGACAAAACUGUAUUCAAGACCAACACAUAAAACUCUAAGAAGACUUCAUCCUGAUAGAUAGCUACAGUGUCACAUGCACAUCAGGAAGUGCAUUUCAGAAACUCUGUGAUAUCUUAUUAAUUCUAGAGCUGUUUGUUUGGUCCCACCACUACAGCUAUGCAUCAUUAACAAAGCCAUCAUAUCCUCAGUCUCAGUAAAUUCAUGAGCCCAUUAAAAGUUUUUACUUACAUUUGCCUUCUGAUCCAUUGUGUAGGAGAAGCUUUAUUACAGUGAGGGCACAAAUUCAGUUCAGGCAAUCAGCAGUCUCCAAGACCCCACAAAGUACUGUCUUCCACAGAGCAGAGGAGAUAAGCCACCCCAGUAUGGAUUGUCAUGCACAGACAUUGUCUAUCCAUUUCUAUGGAAAAUAAGGAAGGGAAAAAUCAACAUAACCCACAAAUUCUGACCAGCUACCUCAACAGCUCCUGAGAUAACCCAGCCUAGGUGAGAAGCAGCACAGCAAGGAUUCAUGACGAAGAGGAAAUCAAGACUUCUUCAGAGGUCAGCCUUGGCUACAUGUGCCCCAGUGCAGUGAACUGAGUAAAGGAUAAGAGUGCAGGAAGAGUACACAUGACCAGAGCAGUAGGACACAGCAAGGUUAUGUGACCUCCAGUCAAACAGCUCCCAGCCCCUCUCCAUCAUUUUUUGAGAUUUUUCACUGGUAUUAUGAUGCCUGCACCAGAGCAGGGGAAAGUCAUUUUUUGAGCAUAAAAGAAGUACAGUUGUAAGUAUGUAUAGCUAUAGGACAUUUUUUCCCUUUUACUCUUGACCCACACCACUUGUCCAUACAGGGACCUGUAACUAUUAGAAGAUAUGUGACAGUGCUUCAUCUCUUUGUGCCAGGUGAAGAGAUCGAUCAUUCCCAUGUGACAUACAACUCCAAAGACUAAAAGAGUUCAAAUUCCUCCACCAGAUAACACAAGCUUUAAAUGUGUGAGCAACACUCAGCAAACUGACUACGAUAUUAACAGUAUAGAGAAGACCAGAUGAAAAAUGAAACAGAAGUGCUGUUUCAUAGGUGGCUGUUCCAUGCUCCACAGACUGAAGAAGAUAGAAAUAAAGUCUCUCCAGCUUCACAAUUUAUGCCAUUUUUAUUUUUAAUAUACAAAGACUAUUAAUUUGUAGCAAACAAUAUUUCUGUUUCUCUGAAUAAAGUAUAAAGACUGUUUA